rnacentral:misc_RNA from 1 species
GAUGAAGAACGCAGCGAAAUGCGAUACGUAAUGUGAAUUGCAGAAUUCAGUGAAUCAUCGAAUCUUUGAACGCAUAUUGCGCUCUCUGGUAUUCCGGAGAGCAUGCUUGUUUGAGUAUCAGUAAACACCUCAACUUCCAUAUCUUUUUGGAAAUGGGAGUUGGACUUGAGUGAUCCCAACGCUUUUCCUCACCGAAAAGUGGCGGGUUACUUGAAAUGCAGGUGCAGCUGGACUUUUCUCUGAGCUAUAAGCAUAUCUAUUUAGUCUGCCUAAAAAACAGAUUAUUCCCUUUGCUGCAGCUAACAUAAAGGAGAUUAGUUCUUGUGCUGACUGAUGCAGGAUUCACAAAGACAGGCUUCGGCCGACUUUGUAAACUCGAUCUCAAAUCAAGUAAGACUACCCGCUGAACUUAAGCAUAUCAAUAAGCGGAGGA